rnacentral:lncRNA from 1 species
GGAGGAAAGGAGAGCCUGUAAGCUCGGUUUUGUGCCCCCGCAGAGUGAGGGGGGUACAGACCCUUCGUCAUUCUGUGUCCUGCGUCGGGGAGGGGUUUGCUUGUUUGUUUGUUUGGCUGCACUGGGGAUUGAUACAGGGCUUCCCUCGUGCUUGCUAAGUGCUCUGCCUCUGAGCUAUAUCUCCCACCUCUCUUCAUUUUCCUAAAUUGCCCUGGCUGGUCCCUAGUCUCGGGGAUUACAGGCAUGGGCUACACCAACCAGCAGGGGAAGGCUUUUACUUUGGGGGUGAGGUAACUGGGAGGGGUUUUUACUGCUCCCAGUAUCUGGCCUUGUCUAAAAAGGGUGGGCCUAUGUGUUGAUAGAAGUCAGUUAUUAGUGGAAAGCUCCCUGGAACCUCCCCAGGGAGGUUGACACACCUCCUUGGCCCCACCUCUGCCCCCCUCCUGCCUAGUCACCCUCUUUGCCUGACCCCAUUGUGGCAGACUUGAGGUUCAGAAGGACCUCUGCUUACAGGGGUACUAUGCUGUGCCCUGUGGUGGAAGCAUGUCCUCUCUAGGCACUAAAACCCCUCCAUUGCAGGGUUCAGGGUAGCAGGAAAAGGACGCAAAUAUUUGGCUUUUUCUUUUUGUUUCCCCCUAGAGCUGGAGAUGGAACGCACGUCUCGGCUCAUGCUUGUUGGGCAAGUGCUCUACCACCAAGCUACACCCCCAGCCCAAGAUGCAAACAUUUGAAGAGUGAGUCACUGGGUGUGAUUUUCAGAAAUGGCCCUCUUAGGUUCCCAAGUCUGUGUAAUCUGGCAUCACACAUGUGUCCCUGGUUCAGUGUUUACCCAUCCUGUAGGACAGCACCCCAACCCCAAGAUGUUAUCCCCAACCUGGAACUGCCACCAAGUCUCACACAGGCUGUGCCUCUGUUCCACAAGGCUAGCUGCAUUGGGGUGAUGGGGUACAUGGACAGCACCCCCCUACACACACGCUGACCUCUUCGUAAAUUGAGUUCCCUGAUCAGAAGCAAUAUUGUGUGUGUGUUAACAUCGUGGUGAAUAGAGCCAUUCAUCGCACACAGAAAGGCUGCUUUUGGCAGAAGUGCAAAGGGCAAGGAAAGCAAAUAGCAAGGCCAGAGUUAUUUAUUCCAGGGAGGAAAAACUCAUUGCCCAAUCCAUGAUGGAAGGGGUCCAAUGUAAUCCUCAACUGACCAGGCCUUGACGACCUUGCUAGGAGUCUGUGCCUUGGUGGGGGUUCAGCAGUGGCUGCUGCCAACAAGGUGGGCAUUCCUCAGUGACGGAGCUGGCUAAGGUUGGUGGCCCACCAUGGCCAUGGGCUCAGGAGUCUACUGAGCAAGAACUGGGGAGGCUAGUGGAAGUCUGACUGGGAGCCACAGAGCAGCCUCUGACCUACCAGAUGACAUAAUAGCAUUCCCUGUGACACUCUCUGUUUGGGGGAGAGUUCGCCUGGGAUACAGAUUUUACUCCAUUUGUCACUUCUAGAGCUUCUAACACUAAACAUGUGGGUUUUAUUUUAUACACCAAAAGUCAAGUUUCUGGCACACCGGCACCAACUGGGUAACCAAUGUUGUAAUUCCAUCCCAGCACUGCCUGAAGUUAGGGUCUAGCCCUACGGCUGAUGGCUCUGUCCUACCAGGCUUCCCCCACUAGAUGCAAAUAUGGGGCCUGGGCCUCCCAUGGCUCUGAACACUGCUGUAUCAGGAACCCCAGGACCUCCUUCUUGGGUUUGAUGAUUUGCUAGAAGGGCACAUAGAAUUUGGGAAGGCACUGGUAUAUUUUAAAGGACAUAUUUUGUGUAUCACAGUCUCAUACAGAUGUACCAUACUUUGGGCCCUUUUGACAUUUGUUCAGUCACCCAUGAAUAUUUACGAGAAUCUCCUGUGUUGGAACAAAGCAGGCUAAGAAGUGCCCACUCCCCUGGAGGACAUCUUCCCUUUUCACCAGUGACACAGGGGUCAAGAUGAAAUCACGUCUUUAUCUGGAGAGAAUGUUCUUACUGGCCUCUGGCUAUAGGGUUCCCAAUGUCUUCCCUGAGGUGCACACUGGCAGUUUCCUGGGCCUGAUCACCUCCCCUGUAUCUGUUCCUCCCUGGUUUGGGGGUCUUAUCAGCACAGUAUCAUCAGAGCAGCUGACCAGAAAGCUGUCCAGAAGGUUUUGAAAAACCUGAUCUCCUGGGGAGUCCAUUUGGAAGUGACUUGAAGAAAGAAUUUCACCUUUAGAACUGCCAUUCAUCCCAGUUAGCUUCCUAGGGCACCGGCACACAUGAUCACAAUCUUUUCCUCUUCUUUUUCUUUCUUUCUUCUUCUUCUUCUUUUUUUUUAAUGGUACUGGAGAUUGAAUUCACACAUACUGACUAAACACUCAGGGUCACUCCAGGUGAACUGGGCUGCACAAAAUAAUCACUCAGAGACAAAGAAAUACCUUUCUCUUUGGGUCCUGUGAUGGCUCCUCUGACUUUAGGGGUCCAUGGAAAGAGAGAGAGGAGCACAUGCUGAACCCUUUUAUGGGAAAGAAGCCAUUCAAAUGAGGCAAAGGGUCAGGUUUCAGGGGGUUGAGUCUAGCUUCCUGAUGUCUGAAUCUAGGGAGGCCACGCCCAUCUCAUGAGCUAUGUGGGGAUCAUGGUAGAGCGAGGCCCAUCCAAACAGAGGACAACGUGGAUUCAGUCCACUUUGCGUGCUUAAUGCCCAUAGUUCACACACACACAGCCCAGGGCUGGCUGGCCACAUCUCCACAUCCCCAUCACUCAGGGUUCCUCCUACGUGGCAGCUCCCGACACUGGGCAAGCACUCUACCACUGAACUACAGCCCCAGCUCUCUUUUAAAAUCUUACUUUGAACAAGGCAGGGGUGGCACACACCUAUAAUCCCAGCCACACAGGAGGCUGAAGCAGGAGGAUUGUAAAUUCAAAGCCAUCCACAGCAAUUUAAGACCCUCAGCAAUUAGCAAGUUACUAUCUCGGCUGGGUGUGGUACACACGCCUGUGAUCUCUGUCUCAAAUAAAAAAUAAAAAGGGCUGGGGAUGUGGCUCAGUGGUUAAUCACCCCUGUGUUCAACACACACACACACACACACACAUACACACAAAUUUCUUUGACUUUGAGACAAGGUGAUGCUAAGUUGACCAAGAGGACCUCCAACUUGAGAUCCUCCUCCUUCAGCCUUCUGAGUAGCUGGGAUUGCAGCUGUGUGCUACUGUGCCUGGAAAAUUAUCAUAAUCUGUGUGGUUUAAAACAAUAGAAAACAUUAAUCUCUCCAAGUUCUGCCCCUGAACAAGGGCUCCCACCCUCUUCUGGCUUCUGCGGGCCUCCCUGCCUCCAUCUCCACAUUGCUGUCUCCUGGGUGUCUGGUCAAAUCUCCCUCUCUCUCAUCAUGAUAGCUAUCACUGUGUUAUGGCUUAGCUCUUCAGUGAGCCCUAAAGACCCUGUUGUUGAAGGCUUGAUCCUCAGCUGACGGUGCUGUUGGGUAGUGGAACCUGUAGGACCCUGGGCCCGCCUCUCUUAUUUUGCUCCCUGGCCUCCACCAGAUGAACAUCUGUCCUCUAUUGCGUGCUGCUGCUGUGAUGUUCUGCCUCACCGUGGGUCCAAAAGCCGUGGAGUCAAUGAGCCAAAAUAAAUGUUUCCUCCUUGUAAAACUGAUUGCCUCAGCAAGAUGGCAGCCAGCACAGGCUUGGGCAAUUUAUGAAAACCAAAUAUAUAGCCUUAAAAUAGAACAUGGACCUAAAUACCUAGAAGCACCCCCUUUGUAAGAGUUGUAAUGAAAAUUAAUAUGAAUGGAGUAAAGAGUUCUAAUGGAUUGGAGGACCCAAGAGCCAUAUCAGUGCUAGCAAAAUGGCAGCAUUCACAUAGCAUCAAAGUUGUUCUGUAAGAGCUGUGGCACUUAAUGAUGUCAUAAAAAGAAAAUAUGAAACUCCCUCAGCCACUGGAAGGACAGUGUUACUUCAAUUAAUUUAAAUAAAUAAAUAAAUAAAUACAUAGGGGCUGGGGAUGUGGCUCAAGUGGUAGCGUGCUCACCUAGCAUGCAUGAGGCACUGGGUUUGAU